GGGCACGCCUAGGGGGGAUACGCAGCAGUCAGGAACGCCCGCGAGC
rnacentral:SRP_RNA from 10 species